ACCUGGCUGGCUCAGCUGGUAGAGCAUAUGACUCUUGAUCUUGGGGUUGUGAGUUUGAGCCCCAUGUUGGGCA
rnacentral:tRNA from 1 species